GUGCCUUGAGGUCCAAAACUGUAAUAUUUGUAACGCACCAACUACAGUACUUACGGCAUUGUGACUGUAUUGUUGUCACUAAAGAUGGCCGAUUCACUGAACGGGGCACACACGAAGAACUGAUGGCUGUUGACAAUACAUAUGCACAACUAAUUAAAUCGCAUCAUGCUGGAACAGAAGAUGACAGUAUUGUCUUAUUGGAAUCUAUGCAUGUGCAACUACGUGAACAAUCCAGUAUUCAUUCAGCAGAAAGCAGUGGAAGUGACGUAGAGAAUAAUUUUGAAGGCAAGCUAAUCCAGGAGGAACAAAAAGGCGAAGGAAAGGUCAAAUGGAGUACAUAUAAGCAUUACAUCAACGCUAGUGGUGGUUAUAUCAGUCUUGUAUUAGUCAUACUAUUAUAUGUAUUGUACAUGGGUUGUAUUGUAUUAAGUUUGUUUUGGCUUAAUAUAUGGGUGACAGCGGGC